UUUGUGUGUUGUGUAUCAAACUGAUAGCUGCUUUCGUUUGUUACAAUUUUACCCAUGAACAACGGUGUUUGUGGUAGCCGGCGAACACGAUGGUGGUGUUUUGUGGCGAUUAAGCAGCGGCAACAACGGUGGCUAGCGGCCACAGACACUCUCCGGCGUUAUCUGCAACCGAAUCAGCGCUGACGGUUCAAGGGUUUUAAGCUAGAUUAGCUGCCGAUGCGAUUUCGGUCUAAUUUAUCUUCUGGUGAACAUGCUGCUGGCUAAGAGGUUCAGGAAGAACUUAUUUGAUCCAGAAAUUAUGAAGAUGAAGAUUAGAACAUGUUCCACAUAGUGGGUUUUGCUUCUCAGCGAAUGUGGACUAAGUGUCUUCAAGCGAAUGGGAGUAGGGCUAAGUGUCUUCAAGCGAAUGUGGAACUACCCACAAACUGAAUAUGGAAUUAAGUUGACCUGGAUUAAUAUUUGAAUCAGCUGUCUUUUCCCACGUAUGCCUUCCAGUAUAACCCUUCAGAGAGGUGAGGAUGUCAUAUCAAUUGGCCACACAGUCUGCUCAUUCCGCACGACAUGACAAGUUGUUAGUUCAGACUGAGGAGCUUAUUCAAAAAGAAGCUGCAGAAGAUACAUAAUUUAUAAGCCAAUUGGAGAUCCGGUGGACCAGGCCUCAGGCUAAUACUCUUACAAAAGCAAGCUGCAGAUAGUGAUGCUGAAAUCUAAUGUUCUAGAGCCGUCAUGCAAGUUUUUUUUGUUAUCAUUUGUGAUAUUAUUUUUCUCUAUUUUUUUCUAAAUGGUUGACCAUUUUUGUAUGGCUAGUUUGUGUUCACCUGAAACACUUUGUCCAACUGUUUAGUUAUAUUUUAUUUUUUAGAUUAAAUGAUUUG
rnacentral:lncRNA from 1 species